AUUAGAUAUCAGUUCACCGAGUGACAUGAUGGCGUCUCAACGGCGGAGUUGCUUUCCAUUGCUUUGCCUCAAAGUCAGACUUCCCUAAACGAACCAUCCGAUUGGAACAGGGGAAUACUCGAAACAUCCAAUUCAAGGACGGAACGGUCAAUGGUGGAUGAGGAAGCCAGUUGGUCAGUAGUGUAUCGAACAUAAUAAUAAAAAGUCGUACUAACUAGAUAAGCUAAGAUGAAAACGACGAAUAAAGAAUGCCUGGCUCAGCAGAGGCCAACAGCGUCAACGAUUCCAACAAUUUUUAUGUUUUUGCCUUUCUCGUACAACAAAGUUGAACCGAAAGGCUAUAACACUACUCCAAAAACGAAGGAACGUGGUAGGAACAUGCAAAUUCGGAAAACUAAAAUGUUUCAAAAAAGAAUUGACUUGAUUAAAUAAAAGAAAAUUUGAAAGUAAAAUAAAAUGUAAUUACAGUCGCGAUUCACUGGUUGGGCCACGACCUCGGCCCAACUAACGAAUUUGU